UAUCAUUAAUUUGGGUUAGGUUGGAUUGAAUCAAAAUUUUCAACCCCAACUUGAGACCCAACCCAACUUGAAAAAAAAUUAAUUUUUUUAACUCAACCCAACCCAAAAUUUAAACUUACCCAACUCAACCCUUAUAAAAGGAGUUGGAUAGUUUGAGUUGAUGAGUUCUUUGUCUUUUUGAGUCAUUGCUUUAAGUAGCUUUUAUGGAUCCGUGAGGAAUUUCAAUGUCUUUUGCUAGCCGAUUAUGGCUUUGAUCUUCGCUUUCCAUAAGGUAAAAUCUUCCUUACCAUCAAACUUUUUAAUAUUAUACCUUGCUACUGACAUCUUUGAAUUUCUUGAAAUCAAGAAUGUGAUUCUUGGAGCUUUCAUGAAUCUCUGAUACCAAUUUGAAGGGGUUGCCACUUGUAUGGACACAAAGAAGCCAUUUAUUUCCAUGUUUCUUCUUUUGGUGUCCUUUAGAUGAUGGUGAGAUGAAAAGAAGAUGAAGAGAGGAAGAAGGAGAAGAUGAACACACAAUGUUUUAAAGUGGUUCGACAAAAUGCCUGCGUCCACUGUGCUUUGGGAGCAAGAUAUUAUUUCUUUUCAGUUUUUGUUGUGUAUGAAAUAUCAAAGUGAUAGAAGAUAUAUUUAUCGAUUUUUCCAUGUCCCUUAGUUAAAACCUAGUUAGACCAGAAGUUAAAACUAACAGAUUUAACUAUAUGUCUUAUACAACAAGAGAUAACUGUUUUAGUAAGAGUUUCCCACCAUUACUUUAGAUA